GAUGAACGCUGGCGGCGUGCCUAAUACAUGCAAGUCGAGCGAACAGAUGAGGAUCUUGCUCCUCUGACGUUAGCGGCGCGCGGGUGAGUAACACGUGUAUACCCUACCUAUAUGUCUGGGAUAACUUCGGGAAACCGGAGCUAAUACCGGAUAAUAUAUUGAUCCGCAUGGUUCAUUAGUGAAAGACGGCUUUGCUGUCACUUAUAGAUGGUUCCGCGCUGCAUUAGCUAGUUGGUAAGGUAACGGCUUACCAAGGCAAGGCUGCGUAGCCGACCUGAGAGGGUGAACGGCGACACUGGAACUGAGACACGGUCCAGGGUCCUAGGGGAGGCAGCGGUAGGGAAUCUGCCGCAAUGGGCGAAAGCCUGACGGAGCAGCGCCGCGUGGGUGAUGAAGGUCUUCGGGUGGUAAAACGCUGUUAUUGGGGAAGAACAAAUGUGUAAGUAACGAUGCACGUGUUAAGGGAACGGAAUAAGAAGGCCAGGCUAAACUAGGG
rnacentral:rRNA from 1 species